AACUGUGCAAACGUUAUUCGGAAUCACUGGGCUUAAAGGGUGCGUAGGCGGGUUUAAAGGUCUGAUGUGAAAGCCCACGGCUCAACCGUGGAAUUGCGUUGGAAACCAUGAACCUUGAGGGAGUCAGAGGUAAGCGGAACUGAUGGUGGAGCGGUGAAAUGCGUUGAUAUCAUCAGGAACACCGGUGGCGAAAGCGGCUUACUGGGACUCUUCUGACGCUGAGGCACGAAAGCUAGGGGAGCGAACGGG
rnacentral:rRNA from 1 species